GUACAGAAGAUGCCGCAAAUGCUCCCGUCCGUCUGACAACUGUAUAAAAGGUUGCACAGUGAGGAUAUUUUAAUCACUUCUUGACUUCUCUCUUCAGUGAGCCAGGUUCGCCUCCAUCACUGCAAGAUGUCUGACAGCCUGGACAUGCUGGAUGACCUGUACUACCAGAGUCCAGAUUGUUGUUGGAGACCCCGCCGCAGAAGGCCAUGUUAUUGUUGUUGCUAUGAUCCAUGCACUGGACAGCUAAUUUGGCAGGGAUGGUGCUGUUGCCCCGGGUGGGGCGGUAGGGGCAGAUACGGAAGGUGCUGGCCAUGCUAAAUCCAGCUCGGAUAUCCACGGCACGUGGAGGAAAGUGGACAUGACAAGCAAGAUACAGAUUCCUGGCUGACCCGACGGACAUGGCUCAGAGCAGUGCUAAGUGUGAGGGCUUGGCAUUGCUACAAGACUCCCUCCCCCAUUCUCCUGUCUCCUACGCUUUGCUUUGUUACUCUAGGAACUUUGUAUUCUCUGCACUGUUAAACAUUAAGGCCUCUUCAUGCGGUGCUGUCAUUUCAAUGGAUGCCUCUGCCUCCUUACAGUCCACUUGUAAUCCAUUGCAGACCACUUGACACAGCCACAGACGUGUAGAAGAUGUUUGGUGACAACAGAUGUAUAAUCCCAGCUGUGACCCUUUGGAAAACCUUGGGGAAAUUCGCUCUCUCCUCUGUAUCCCUUCCGUGUCUGUAUUCUCAAUUUCUUCCGUACAUUAAACUUCGUCUGCAGCAUAA